AUCAGUCCCGACCAUACGGGACCCAGCAACUGCACCUGAGCCACAGUCCCCUCAGGAGUCCUGACCUGAACUUCAUCCAGCACCUUUGUGAUGAACCAACCAAGAACCAGACCUCAUCACCCAGCGCUGGACUUCACUACGCCCUGGGUAGUGUCUGCAGACUUCUGUUUUCGGCCUCAGCAAGAUUCACCAAUUAGAAGGGCUUGUUAACAGCUGGCAAACAUCUGGGGAGAGGAACCGUGUCAGAUAAGGUGGGGAAGCUUCUCGAGGCAUCAUGUCAUCAGACAGAAGUAUACACAGAAACACAGAGGAGGAAAAUGGCAAAUAUGAAUCAAAAACAAGUACAAAGUCACUGACAAGAGAGCAGAGUCAGGGAACUGCAGGGAACUUCUUCAUGUAUACAUUUAAGCAUAUGGCUGCAAAGUCAGUACAGUGAGUGCAUUCUGUUUCCCUUUGGCAUACAUGUCACACAAACACCUUGACUGUUAAACUUACAAUUAAAGUGUAUUGGAUAUUUGGUACAUUUACGCUUCUAUCAUGUAUUAUGUUGCUGUUUAUUUCAUUGUGUCUCAUUUAUCCAUUUAACACUUGUUCGU